AACAAAAACUUACUAGACUAUGACAGACUUCAACAUCCUUUAAAAGACUCGAUAUUACUGUAAAGAACUAGAUGGUAAAACAUGACAUAAAAAGAAAAACAGACUCAAAACAUAAAAAAAUAAAAAAAUCUCCUUAAGCAACUCCUGGAUGAGCGAUCUUGGCCGGAUGGUCCUAAGGCAUCUGUCAUGCCUAAACUCCGGUAAGUAGAUCCACACCUGUAUGAGAAAAUUAGACCAAAUAAAGUUAAAGACCUAGAACAUUAUGUGAGAUAAUAACACUUCCUGUUGGACACAUGCAAGACAUGAUUGAAGCUAUUUCGGCAAAACGGCCUGCGUGGCCCAAAAGUGGCUAGACAUGUAAGAUUUGGCUAAGACCACGCGAAGCCAAGAACCUAAGACUCACUGGGAAGACCGGACCCUAUGUGGGUUGCAUAAGUAUCACGCCCCAAAAGACGAGAAUCAGGUAUGCGUAAUUCGGGAAGAUUGGAUACGGACGAUAAUUAAAAAAAUAAUUGAUUUAGAGAAAACAUAUUUUUUAUCCUCUUUUUUUUUUUUAAAAAAAAUGAUGGGAAAAUGCAAAAUAUUUUUGGAUUUUUCAUUUUCAUUUUUUUUUGUCUUUUUCUUAAAAAAAAUGUGAACGAAAAACAUAAUUGGGUCCCUACUUGCUUCAUUUUUAUACUUCACCCCCUUUUCUUUCUCAUUUACCCUCAACAAUCAUUGGUCUGCCAAAUGAUCCUUUUUACCCUUGAAGAUUGCAACAUGUAGCAUAUAUGAUGCAUCAGGAUGGUCUUUUAUUUUUUGGGUACACUUGUCCUAGACGGACUAAACCUCUGUGUUGAGUCCCCAAAGUCAAAUGCACAUGAUGCAAACAACGUUCCUACUAGGGAUUCGACAUGACGUUAUGUCAUUCUAGGUUCAAACCUAGGAGUGUGUUCUAGACAUGGCUAACCGAGCAGAGGUGGGGGCAACAUACCGAGAGCACGAAAGUCUACCCGACCUAGUUACUGACCUAACCUCGUUCUAUUUAGUAUGACUUCUAACAAAAAAGUGGGCCACGCGUAAGAAGACUCAGAAGAGAGGUGUAAGAAGACAAUUUAAUACAAUUCAAAUAAUAUCAAAGUAGUAAAUAAGCGGCUGUUAGCACAUUAGGUCCACAAAUACAGUAAUAUCAACAAACAAUAAAGCCAAGCAUACAUCAUAUUAACAAGCUCGAAUUCUCAACCCUGAACCAAAAGUUCUGGGUUCUUGUCCCCAGCAGAGCCGCCAGAGCUAUCACACCUCCUUUUUCUACCCCGAAAGGGGUAUAAGGGAGUUUUUUCAAUUAAAGUGACAAUCAAAACGGGAUUAUUUAUCAAAUUCAGAGUUGCCACUUGAGAUAAUUUAUGGUGUCCCAAGUCACCGGUUUAAAAUCCCAAAUCGAGGAAGUUUGACUCUGUUAUACAGUCUACGAAACAUAGAAAUUGGGGAAAGAAAUUCUGUUAACCCGGAAGAAGGUGUUAGGCAUUCCCGGGUUCCGUGGUUUUAGCACGGUCGCUUUGAUCAUAAUUGGCUUAAUCAAAUUGUCUAAUCACUUAUUUUAAACCUAUGUGCAUCCACCCUUUAGUCGCUUUUAAUUUGAAACAAAUCACGAGUGCGUGUAUUCAUUUCGUUUGACGCGUCAAAAAUCAUAUCACGCGUACGUGUCCAUAAUUAAUCACGUUUUAUUAAUAUUAAGAAAGUUUGGCCGAAGUUUUGCGAACGCAUACCUCGAUUUAUUUCUAGAAAUCAUAAUCAUGUCAUGUGAACGUGUACACAAUCACGAUGAUAGAUUAAGUCGCGCCUAAAGCAUUCUAUCAUUUUGUGGAGUAUUAAUCGUUGAUAGAUUCGUUUGAAUCAUGUAUUUCUAUCAUUAAACUCAAAUCAACCUCACUUCCUAUUACUAUAACAAGCUAUAAUUUUCAAGGCAACUUCUUUACCACAGUAUAAUUUUAAUAAUUUAAUCUAAUCAACUAUACUAACAGAUUACAGUUGCCAAAUACAUAUCCUUACGUUGCUUACUCAUUACCUUCACGUUUCAAUCAACAAACAAAAGAAAAGCAUUACGUAAUAGCUAUGAUCAGUUUGCCUUAAGAAAUCCAAAUCCCUUUUUUAAAAAAAAACCACAACCCCACUGCUCAGUCAUUCUCAUUCUCUUAACAAAACAAUCACCAAGAAAAAAAAGUCAUUAAUUACACCAAGGUGCUGAAUAAAACAUAUUUGGAUGAGCAUAAUAUUUUCAAUAACAGACAUUAAUAAUCAAGCAGAACACUCAAACAUUACUCGGCAAAGCAAUAUCAACCAAAAAAAGCAUGCGUAAAGCUUAAAAAAGAGUAGAUAAAUAGUGGAGAGAUAAGAAUGAACCUCAAAUAAACAAACAACUGCCUUCAAAAUUAUUAACAAAAGUUGAACAAUGAGUAUCAAACAAAUCUAGAAACGAUGAAAGACCAUCAACCAGACCUUCGAAGUGCGAGCGGAACCAACGAGCGGAGACCUCAAACGACAACUUCAAAAUGACCUCGAUCUCCAGAAAACACAACUAAUUACGGGGGCUAUUUUGUGACAGAUUGGAGGCUGAUUUUCGGUAGAGUCUCGGCGGGUCUUCAACUGAGUUUAAUGGAGUCCGCUGGAAAAAUGGCAAAUCCGGCCACACCCGCCUAAAUCCAAUCAAACAAAACAAUGUACUUUUUAUAACUCAUAUUGUUUGUAACAACACGUGAAUGAAGAAACAAAUGUAUAGAAAAAGAAACGUCUGCCGUUUUGAAUGGUGGUCGCCGGAAAAAGGUAUUGAUCGCCAGAACUCAAACCCAAACAGAUCGGUGUUCAAAACUUCACUGUCAGAUCUGAAGUUUCCAGCCAAACUCCGGCGAGAAGCGUUGAUUUCUCCAACCAGUGGAGUUCGUCGAAGAGAAGAGACCAUGGAAGUCACCGUGGUUGCGUAGCCAUCGCCGGUGACCAACUCCUACGGACAACAGUGACGCUGAAAAUCAACCGAGAGAGAGAGGGAUAAGGGGUGAGCGUUGGAAAUGGUGUUCUUUUCCUCUAGGAUUGUUCAGUGCCAAGAAGAAGAAGCGGCUGAAGCUUUUUGGUGUCUCCAGCAAUUUUUUUUUUUUUGUGUUUCAUCUCCUGAAGAAGAAGCAACGAUGGUGGGGUCUCCUUUUAGGUCUUAGGGUCUAUUUUUUUUUU
rnacentral:lncRNA from 1 species